rnacentral:rRNA from 1 species
AUACGUAGGUGGCGAGCGUUGUCCGGAUUUACUGGGUGUAAAGGGCGAGUAGGCGGGCUUGCAAGUCAGAUGUGAAAUACCGAGGCUCAACUUCGGGGCUGCAUUUGAAACUGCGAGUCUUGAGUGAUGGAGAGGCAGGGGGAAUUCCCAGUGUUGCGGUAAAAUGCAUAGAUACUGGGAAGAACACCAGUGGCGAAGGCGGCCUGCUGGACAUUAACUGACGCUGAGGAGCGAAAGUGUGGGGAGCAAACAGGAUUAGAUACCCUGGUAGUCCACACCGUAAACGAUGAUUACUAGGUGUGGGGGGACUGACCCCCUCCGUGCCGCAGUUAACACAAUAAGUAUUCCACCUGGGGAGUACGAUCGCAAGACUGAAACUCAAAUGAAUUGACGGGG